UUCAGUCUAUGGCUGGUCCAACACAAACAACCACUCACGCUCAGUCCUAGGGAGGAUUUAGAGUCACCAGUUAACCUAACAUCAUGUCUUUGGAAGGUGGGAAGAAUCUGGAGAG